GCGGUAUCCUGACCGUGCUAAGGUAGCACAAUAAAUAGCCAAUUAAUUGUUGGCGGGUAUGAAUGGAACCACGAGGGUCUUACUGUCUCAAGAGGAAAGCCGAUGAAAUUAUAAUUGUAGUGAAGAUACUACAUAAACAUUGUAAGACGAAAAGACCCUAUCGAGCUUUACUGGAUACCGAUAGCGUUAAUUUAGAAUGAUCUAUACUAAGUAUCCUAAUUCUAAGUUAAUAAUUUUUGUUGGUAGGACAGUUUAGUUGGGGCGACUACCUUUGAAUAAGAAACGAAGGCGAGCUUAUGGUAUUAUUAAAAUCUCAUUAGCCUCACAGUGAGGGGGACACCCCUAGCUGGCACAAGGAACCACGUAUACGUAAUGGGCUCCUAUGUGGGCGAUAGUGACCCGAUAUGAUUAUCCAAAAUAAAUAUCGAAAGCGGAUAAAAGCUACCGUAGGGAUAA
rnacentral:rRNA from 1 species